GACGAACGCUGGCGGCGUGCUUAACACAUGCAAGUCGAGGGCACUACUGGGGCAACCUGGUAGUGACCGGCGAACGGGUGCGUAACACGUGAGCGACCUUGCCUCGUGGUGGGGGAUAGCCGGCCCAACGGCCGGGUAAUACCGCAUAUGGUAGUUCUUUCGCAUGGGAGAACUAGCAAAGCCGUGCAGCAAUGCACUGGCGCCACAGGGGGGGCUCGCGGCCUAUCAGCUAGUUGGGGGGGUAAUGGCCCACCAAGGCGACGACGGGUAGCUGGUCUGAGAGGAUGGCCAGCCACAUUGGGACUGAGAGACGGCCCAGACUCCUACGGGAGGCAGCAGUGGGGAAUCUUGCGCAAUGGCCGAAAGGCUGACGCAGCGACGCCGCGUGGGGGAGGAAGGCC
rnacentral:rRNA from 1 species